ensembl:lncRNA
GGGAUUCUCCAGGCAAGGAUCCUGGAGUGGGUUGUCAUUUCUUCCUCCAGGGGAUCUUCCCCACCCAGGGAUCUAAGCUGCAUCUCGUUUUUGACAGGCGGGUUCUUUAACACUGAGCCAGCAGGGAAGCCCACUAGUUAAGUAAUCCAGGGUUGAGUAGGCACUCUGCAUGUGUAUUUGGGCUUCCUAAGUGACACCAGUGGUCAAGAACCUGCCUGCCCAUGUAGGAUCCGUAAGAGAUAUGGGUUCGAUCCCUGAAUUGGAAAGAUCCCUUGGAGGAGGGCAUGGCAACCCACUCCAGUAUUCUUGCUGGAGAAUCCCAUGGACAGAGGAGCCUGAUGAGCUACAGUCCAAGGGUCGCAAAGAGGCGAACACGACGGAAGCGACUUAGCACUCCCAUGUGUAUUAUUUUUUACAUUUAUAGUCGUAAGGAACAACUUGGGUUUUACCUUCUCACCCCUCUUUCUGCAAAUAGAAGCAGAUCAUUUGAAUACAAAUAUCUUUUUUUUUUUUUUUUAAUUAUCCUGGGCAGUUUGAAUGAAGUUUAGCAUAAUUGGGAAAGAGUAAAUAUAUAUGAUGCAAUUAGUGUUAUUCCCUUUGCGGCUACAUGAACUGCAGAUUCACACCUCCACUAAGGGCUUCCCUGGUGGGCUCAGGCUGUCAAGAGUCUGCCUGCAACGUGGGAGACUUGGCUUUGAUUCCUGGGUCGGGAAGAUUCCCUGGAUGAGGGCAUGGCAACCCACUGCAGUAUCCUUGCCCAGAGAAUCCCACGGACAGAGGACCAAAGUGGGCCCCAGUCCAUGGGGUCACCAAGAGUCGGACACGACCGAGCCACUAACACCCAGGACAUUAUUUACAUUUACAAACCACAGGCCCCGUGGUUUGUGAUCAUUCUGUCAUUUUAAGAGCAGCUGAUGGUAUCUGGAGGUUGCAGAGAGCAGGUGUUCCCCACCGCGUGGUGGGCGUGUGCAUCUGAGUUUGUCUUGCUGGCUCCUCGGUGCCUACUCUGGUUCCGCGGCAUGCCAGCUUGCUCCUGCCGAGUCUCAGAAGUUCCCUGCAUGGCUGGCAGCUGCAGACUGAGGCUGACACGGGCCACUGUGCCCACUGAGUGGGUUGUGCUUCCUGGGCAGGUCCCACCCUGGUAGGGACUCCUGCUGACAGGUGCAUGGCCGAGACCCCAGCAUCCUCAGCAGGCCCCCCAUCAUGAACAGGGCUCCUUUCUUGAUGGCCCUUAUCGCCAAACCAUCAGUAACAGGGCGGAUUCCACGGGCUGAGCCGGACAGAUGAAAGGUUCCGUUUGAAGGUGACCGAUGAUACUCACCCUCAAAGAGCCCUCCUUUGAAAGACGACACAGGGGUUACGUUUCAGAGGUCGGGAUCCCCUAGGGCUGCUUUUCAUCUCUCCCAGGGGUCCCCUCUGUGACACUCACCUCUUGUUGACCGCUGAGAAAGAAACUGAUGGAUACGAUCAGACCAAAGAGCCCGAGGCCCUCCCGUUCCAUCCUGCCUUGCCCGUGGGGCCAUCCAAAAACUCCCUGUCUGCAUCUCAUUCCUGGUGGCUUUCUCCUUAGGGAGCUGCCUGGAGGUUAUGUCACAGCCCAGUGAAGAACAACACUCGUGGUUUUUGCUGUUGUUGUUCAGUCGCUAAGUCGUGUCCGACUCUUUGCCCGCCAGGCUCCACUGUCCAUGGGAUUUCCUAGGUAUGCAGCAAACUUGUGCCAACAGAAGUAAAAGGAAAUAGAACCAUCAAAGAUGACCGUAGGUUCUAAGUGUCCUGGUGACCGGCAGAACUGUGGUGUGACCAGCAAGAAAGUUGGGAAGAAACACAGAGUGGAGGAGGACACGGAGACAUGUUUGGGGCCAGUUGAUCAUGAUUGGUUUAACAAAGAUGAUCAAUAUGCUCAAGGUGAUAAAUACUCAAGAAGGCACCAAGACCGUAAGAGCUGAGCAGAGAAAAGUUUGCUGACCUCCUAAAAGACCCUUAUGGUACUCAGGCUCUCCAUUUGACUGUCUCACCUGUGAAUUUCUCCGUGAUGGAUUCUAGUCCAGCAUCUCUUUCCCAAAAUACCUUUUACUAUCUGCAUGUGGAAAGGAGAGUAUUUGAACUGUGACUGCCAUGACUCAGGAACUGAGCUUUCAAUUUUAUUUAGUGAUGUGAGAAGAUCCUGAAAUCACCUCCUGAACAUAUCUAACUAUCUAGAGACCUGUCCCACCAGAUUCCCUGGAGCACUCAGUUCCUCACUCCGCCCUGAGCUUCCC